UACGUAGGGUGCAAGCGUUGUCCGGAAUUAUUGGGCGUAAAGAGCUCGUAGGCGGCCUGUCGCGUCGUCUGUGAAAACCCGGGGCUUAACCCUGGGCUUGCAGUCGAUACGGGCAGGCUUGAGUGCGGUAGGGGAGACUGGAAUUCCUGGUGUAGCGGUGAAAAUGCGCAGAUAUCAGGAGGAACACCGGUGGCGAAGGCGGGUCUCUGGGCCGUAACUGACGCUGAGGAGCGAAAGCGUGGGGGAGCGAACAGG
rnacentral:rRNA from 1 species